GAGUUUGAUCCUGGCUCAGGAUGAACGCUGGCGGCGUGCCUAAUACAUGCAAGUCGAACGAAACUUCUUUAUCACCGAGUGCUUGCACUCACCGAUGAAGAGUUGAGUGGCGAACGGGCGAGUAACACGUGGGCAACCUGCCCAAAAGAGGGGGAUAACACUUGGAAACAGGUGCUAAUACCGCAUAACCACAGUUACCGCAUGGUAACUGUGUAAAAGGUGGCUAUGCUACCGCUUUUGGAUGGGCCCGCGGCGCAUUAGCUAGUUGGUGAGGUAAAGGCUUACCAAGGCAAUGAUGCGUAGCCGAACUGAGAGGUUGAUCGGCCACAUUGGGACUGAGACACGGCCCAAACUCCUACGGGAGGCAGCAGUAGGGAGUCUUCCACAAUGGGCGAAAGCCUGAUGGAGCAACGCCGCGUGGGUGAAGAAGGUCUUCGGAUCGUAAAACCCUGUUGUUAGAGAAGAAAGUGCGUGAGAGUAACUGUUCACGUUUCGACGGUAUCUAACCAGAAGGCCACGGCUAACUACGUGCCAGCAGCCGCGGUAAUACGUAGGUGGCAAGCGUUAUCCGGAUUUAUUGGGCGUAAAGGGAACGCAGGCGGUCUUUUAAGUCUGAUGUGAAAGCCUUCGGCUUAACCGGAGUAGUGCAUUGGAAACUGGGAGACUUGAGUGCAGAAGAGGAGAGUGGAACUCCAUGUGUAGCGGUGAAAUGCGUAGAUAUAUGGAAGAACACCAGUGGCGAAAGCGGCUCUCUGGUCUGUAACUGACGCUGAGGUUCGAAAGCGUGGGGAGCAAACAGG
rnacentral:rRNA from 1 species